CCGGUUCUGUUCUGUGGACGACUGUGGAACCUCUGGAGAUUAUGAUUCAAAGAAGGAUUCGUCAUGAAAUCAAUAAAAUUAUGGGCAAC